AUUGAACGCUGGCGGCAGGCCUAACACAUGCAAGUCGAACGAGUGGCGGACGUGUGAGUAAUGUCUGGGAAACUGCCCGAUGGAGGGGGAUAACUACUGGAACCGGUAGCUAAUACCGCAUACCAUCGGAUGUGCCAAUAUGGGAUUAGCUAGUAGGUGGGGUAACGGCUCACCUCGGCGACGCUCCCUAGCUGGUCUGAUAGGAUGACCAGCCACACGGGAACUGAGAAACUGUCAAGACUCCUACGGGAGGCAGCAGUGGUGAAUAUUGCACAAUGGGCGCAAGCCUGAGGCAGCCAUGCCGCGUGUAUGAAGAAGGCCUGCGGGUUGUAAAGUACUUUCAGCGAGGAGGCGGUACUCGCAGAAGAAGCACCGGCUAACUCCGUGCCAGCAGCCGCGGUAAUAC
rnacentral:rRNA from 1 species